AUGGUCGACGUCGCCAGGAAAAGUUGUAUUUCUGAUGAGUCCGAUGUCAUUAAAUGGGCCCUGGGUCCCAAAAAGGUCUUUACGACUAAAUCGGUGUAUUCCUUCCUGGAAAGAAACAUCGCAGGGUGCAAUUUUGGGUGGGUGUGGAAAGCUGGCAUUCCUCUAAAGAUCAAAAUCUUUAUGUGGCAGUUGUUCCAGAAUUCUAUUCUUACUCGAGAUGUGAUGAAAAAAAGAGGGUGGAAAGGGAACCCGAAGUGUUCAUUCUGUGGGGAGCGUGAAACUUUCCAACAUCUCUUUUUUACCUGUCCUGUAGCUAAGGUGACCUGGAGAGUUAUUGCUUGCAUGGUCGGCACUGAUUUGUGUCCGAACAGCUUGUGGCAGGCUUAA
rnacentral:rRNA from 1 species